CAGUCCGUGGGAGCAUGGAGCAUGGAGCAUGGAGCAUGGAGCAUGGAGCAUGGAGCAUGGAGCAUGGAGCAUGGAGCAUGGAGCAUGGAGCAUGGAGCAUGGAGCAUGGAGCAUGGAGCAUGGAGCAUGGAGCAUGGAGCAUGGAGCAUGGAGCAUGGGCAUCCUAAUGGUUUCUGGCCUCAGCACAGACCACAAACAUGGCUGCUGGUUACAGUAGGGCCACAGACCUCAGAGGCAGCACAGGUGCCUCAUAUCAAUAUGUCUCCUGGUAGCAGCACAGCCCUCAGACAUCAGAUGGCCUCAUGCUGCACCACAGACCAUGGAUCUCCUCUUGGCAUUUGGUGGUAACAUGAACACAGACGCCAGCUACAGUUGGACUAUGGACCUGACAUGGCCCUAGGAAGUAGCAUGGGCCUGGACAUCACCAUGGCCUCCAGUAGCAGUGCCGGUCACUCAGAUCAGUAUGGCCUCCAGUGGUCCCGUGGCCCAUGGACAUCAACAUGGAUUCAGGUGGCAGCAGAGACCAUGAACAUCUACAUGACCUUUGAGGACCCCAUGGGCCAUGAAGAUCAACACAGACCCUGGCAAUGGAAUAAGUAAUUUAUCAAUUUACACCAUGUGGAUGCUGCUGGAAUAAGA
rnacentral:lncRNA from 1 species